GACGAACGCUGGCGGCGUGCCUAAUACAUGCAAGUAGAACGCUGAAGCUUGGUGCUUGCACCGAGCGGAUGAGUUGCGAACGGGUGAGUAACGCGUAGGUAACCUGCCUGGUAGCGGGGGAUAACUAUUGGAAACGAUAGCUAAUACCGCAUAAGAGUAGAUGUUGCAUGACAUUUGCUUAAAAGGUGCAAUUGCAUCACUACCAGAUGGACCCGCGUUGUAUUAGCUAGUUUGUGAGGUAACGGCCUACCCAGGCAACGAUACAUAGCCGACCUGAGAGGGUGAUCGGCCACACUGGGACUGAGACACCGCCCAGACUCCUACGGGAGGCAACAGUAAGGGAACUUCGGCAAUGGACGGAAGGCUGACCGAGCAACGCCGCGGGAGUGAAGAAGGGUUUCGGAUCGUAAAGCUCUGUUGUAAGAGAAGAACGAGUGGUGGAGGGGAAAGUUCACACUGUGACGGUAUCUUACCAGAAAGGGACGGCUAACUACGUG
rnacentral:rRNA from 1 species